UCAUCAAGCCACGCCUUUCAUUCUCACCAAUACUGAACUGCUGCCUGGUCAGGUGGAUCAUCAAAAGUACAACAGCACAGAGUACAGUGUCUCCAUGAAUGAAUAGGAAUUAGGAAGCUGAGGGAACUUCAUGACAGCGGGGCUGAAAUGCUGUUUAUUUCAGGUGCAGUGUGA